rnacentral:tRNA from 1 species
GGACAUUUGGUCUAGUGAUAUGAUUCUCGCUUACGAUGUGAGAUGUCCCGAGUUCAACUCUUGGAAUGCCCC